CUUCAGAGGCUGCCAUGCUAGAAGCAAUCCUCCAUCUGGGAGAAAAGGCUUUGUCCCUGCUUUCGGAAAGGAAAGGUGGUAGAACUAGCCACAGACAUCUCACAAAUUGUGCAGUAUUGCAUCAAGAAAGGACGCAGACGUGAAUACUUCCUGAGGGAAAAUCACACUGAUGUCAACUUGCUGUCAGCUUCUUCUGAUGGCAGUUCUGUACAGCUCUUGAUGAGAACAUCUUUGGCAUAUUCCUCAAGCAAAGCCAAUGAUAGACACUUCAAGCACAGCAAUCAUCCCCAGUUCAGGGAGAAGAUGUACUCAUGAAGAAAGCUUGUAUAUGGAAAACACUGCUGAGCAAUUUCUUGGGAUGCAGUCUUUGUUGCACUUACCGAAAUGCCGAGCCUCCUAUUGCCUCAAUAAUUUUCAGCAGUUCACUUUAUUAGGCUCCACCUGUGAAGUGAAAAGGAAUACGAUUAUUGAAGAAAGCUUGCUUUUACUUGACAGGUUUCAAGUACCAGAUCUAAUUAUCAUGCCAUAAACUGACAAUUUCAAAGGAUAAUCUUCUGAUAAAUACUGUGUUAAAGCCAAGACAUUAAAUGCAUUUUCUCAUUAUGGCAACUGGAAUGGAAACAAUAUUUUCCUUGCCAUGGGCACAUUAGAACAUGGUCAGGCAGAAGCUGUAACAAAAACAGGUAGCAAUUGUAUUAUAAUUAAAGAUAACACAUUCAGCUUCAAACAUGGAACUGGACAGCAAUUCUUGCAGGCAGCUACUAUCCACGAUGUGUAAUUUUAACAGAGACAUCCAAGAAUACAGUGUCCCUGGUGCUCUGGAUUUGUUUGCACAUGUCUAGGUAUGUACAUAAUACUGUCUUUGAACAUUUUUGGUUUCAAACUCAUUAGAAACAAGCAAAUUUUCACAGACAUUUAAAUUAUUCAAAAGUUUAUGAGAAUAUAAAGAUUAACAGGAAAGGAGAUUCCAUAAAUUCUGGACAAAGAAAAGGCUGAAAUGUGAGUUCAAAAGUUGUAAGACCUAAGAGAAUCCACACUGGAGACAGCAGAAUCUUUUGUAUGUGCCAUCUUGUGAACGAACCUCCUCGGAGCUUCCAGUCAACCACAAGAUAAACCAUCUGGUUUCAGUAGAUCUGGUGCUCAUGAAAAUACUAAUUUAGAAAGAAUGUGAUAUAUUCUGUAAAAUAAUAGAUCAAAGUUAUCUACCUGCUUGCUCUCCCACACACUCGCAAGAUCCACAUGAUCUGGAGUCCCUUGCUUGGUAGCCUCCUGUGUCGAGAGGGGCUACUGGGCUGGCAGGACUUCCCAUGUCCCUCAGAGAGGGUUUUGCAAGCGAUACACAAUAACAGGGAUAUUCCCUGCAGUGAAAGCAAAUAAUCUUAUCUCCUCAGCUGUCCUUUUUGAUUUAGGAACAUCCAGAAGUGAAUGCCCAGCUUGACACCAUUACUUAUUCUCCGUUAUAUAAAGCUGAUAGCUAGAACUAGAAAGCUGUGUGAUAAAAGCACUAUGCCUACCAGUAUGCCAUCCCCACCACCUUCAGACAAAUACAAGGCAUGAAACAUGACAAAAAUGUGCAGAUCAGAUUCUCCUCCUACUGUCCUGCUUUCAGAUAAACAAUCUACUGAAGAUUUUACUUUGUUAGUGUCACACAACUGAAAGAAACAUAUAAAUGGAGGACACAGAUUGAGAGAAAAAGGGUAAUCUUCUGAGCAAUACAGUCUUCAUAUCUGUAGGUCAUGAAGCCAUAACACAUGAAAUGAACAAAUCUUGCCACAGCCUUCCUGAUGUAUAGGUGAUAUAGUCUGAAUCUUCUCUGAUUAUUCUUACGUUAUUAUUCUUAUGUUACUGAACCUUUUAAACAGAAAGUUAGUGAUUCAAAGGACUACAGGUGAAUACGGUCUCUCCCACUUCAUUUCUGCUCUCCAAGUGAGCCGAUUUUGCUGAAAAAGGAGUGAAGGACUUGCCUGCAGGGUUUUUCACCCCAAGGUAUAGGUUGUUGUGCAGGACUGUGCUGAGAAGCAUUGGUGUAUUGCAUUUAUUUAAGACUGUGAUACUACUCUAGUACUGUUGUUAUCUCUGACUCUCAACCUGUUCACACCACUAUGGGAUGCAUCUCUUGAUGCAUCUCUGUGAAACAAUAUACACAUCUGUGAACUCGGGUUAACAUGUAACUCACAGAGGUAUUUCAGUUUACUCAUAUUGUUGGCCAGGAAAGAUCUAUUUGGUAAUUUUGGGAAAGCAUCCAUAUCUCUUUAACCACAGAGCACUCACACGUGUCAAUUUUUACAUUCGGAGCCAUGCCCCAUCAGGACAAGAAUGUGAAAAUUAAUUCAGAUGACAUGCUGUUGGUAUGGUGCAAAUAAACAGUGUUGUGACAUAUCUCAAAGGCAUUUGCGCAACUGCAAGGUGCAGGUGUUUCCAAGAAUCCCUGGCAUGGCUUAUGAAUGCUGGAGUAUUUAGCUUCAGGCUUCCUGGCUAGAAUACACUCCUAGCACUAUCUCAAGAAAUUAAACAUAUCAGCUCAUAGAAUAAUUCCUAAACCUUACUAUAUCAGGCAGAGAUCACUUUCUGAAGAAGCUACUGAUAACUAGAGAGUAGAAAGAAGAAUCCUAAGAGAAUGUGGUUGUAUAUAUGGAGAGGAACUGCCGAUCUUAUAUACCUGAGACAACCAGACCCUUUGGAUCAAGUCUCUAUAGUAAGCUGGCAAUGCUUUGAAAUAGACGAUUCUUUUCCUGUCACUUGCAGUUGCCAUGAAUUUACUGGAAGCACUGACUCAUGCUUAAUUAGUGGUGCCUUGGGUUAUUUUGAUAUUGGUUUUCAGCGUUUAUCGUAUCUGCUAUUUUGAAGGCAUGUAUUAUUCUUCAGAAUAUUUCAUUGUAAUCUGGCACAAUGAUUUUUCUGUAAGAUAUUUAAAACUGAAUAAACUAUCUUUCCAAUAUCUUGUUUUGAUUUAAUUCCAAGCAGACAAAUCUAUGGUUGAUAAGCUUUCUUCAUAUAAGUCAGUUAAUCAAGUAAUGGAUCGGUUAUUAACUAAUACAUGGAGUUGGCUCCACACCUAAACGUGUCAAAGAUAUGAAAUGAUAUCUAAUAGAAUGAUCGCACAGCUUUCCGUCUCUAAACAGAAAGCAACACUUUCUCUGUCUGUAAGGAGAGCAGGAAAGUGUUAAUGCUUUAAAUCCCUGACAAAUCUCAGUGGAAAACAUCUUUGCUUGUAGUGUUUGCUCACCACAUGGUGCAUUCUUCAGAAGGUGCUAAAUCAGCAAAACUGCUGAAUUUGAAAUAUUGGGAACAUUCAUCUGCCUCUGAAUUCAGUUAAGCUAUGUGUAAAGAUCCUGAAUAGAAUCUGAUGGUGUAACAGCAAUGUGGAAUUGCAUAUUAAACAUACCUAACCUGUCAUUAAAAACCUCUAAUUACAGCCAUCAGAUGAGUCCCUGUGCUGCUACUUGUCAUGCUAUAUCUAUGUAUCAUUUUAAUGGGAGAAGAUAGUAUUUCUGAUUAUGUCGCUUAAUGUACAAUAUAUGAAAGUUAUGGCCCUGAACCUGUUCCCAUGGAGGUCAAUGACCGUUUUGCCAUUGUCUUCAAUUAGAGCAGGAUGUGGUUUUAUGACACUAGGGUUUCAUUUGCAUUAAUUAAUUUACUUAGUAGGUAAUGAAAAACUUGAAAAAACAGCCCUCUGGCUCAUGAGUUUGGCACUGUAUUUGAUACUUUCAUUAGAAAUAAUUGCAUUGAUAAACUUUUGAGCAAAAGUGGGUAAGACAGAGGAGUGUAUUAGCAAAAUCAAGCUCACCAGCAGCUGACUGGGAAGCCCUGAGACUGUCUUCCAUGCCCGAGCCUUGUUUUGUUUCAUUUGUCAGUGAUUAGGUCUAGGAUGUUGAAUCUUUAAAGCUUAGCAGUGUAAGAUAAAAGCAUAACAGUUUCAUACUUUGUGUAUUUAUAUGCAUUACACAUCAUGGAGACAUUUGCUCAGCAGACACUACAGAACUCACAGCUGGUUUUCAGGUCAGCAGCCUCACACGGAAUGGAAAGGAUAAAUGUGUGAUGAGAUUGAGGUGGUUCUUCACAUGAUGAUUGAGGCCAGGAGCUACCUUUGUGCAAAGAUCCAUAUAGAUAUUACUGAAUGCAAACACAAUCCUGUGGAAAGAGUCUUAAACAGGAUGCUUUGAUUUCUUAAAUUACAUGUAACAUAUCAGUCUCCUUUUAACUUUUUUAUCUCUUUAGCUGUUAACGGCAUCGGUUAUGUUAGCAUCAGGCUCAUGCCUGGGAAAGAAAGAAGUUGCAAAACCAGUGACGGAGGCAGUUCUGCCAAGCUAGAAUGAAUGCACUGUGCCAGCUGGUGGGAAUGUAGGUUAGUCCCAAAAUGCACAGUCUGGGAAUAAAGAAUUAAUAAGAAGUCUAUAUAUAACACCUUUCACAGAAAGGACCGGAAUCAAAUGAUCUUCCAGUGAGCCACUGACAGCCAAAAGAUUUCACAGUGGCUUGCCAGAGGGGCGGUAUGACCCAGCAAUGGAUGUACUUGCUUGGGAUUUCUGUGAUCUGAUUGAUUUCCACAUCCUGCCACAUACUUCCCCUGUCAUCCUGGCAAAGUCACUUCUCCUCUUGGGUGCUGCUUCUACAGCCUGUAGGUAAUAAGUCCUCGCUACCUUGUAAAGCUUCUGUUUUGGUUUUAGAGGUGCUUAGUUACCCAAGUGUUGGGAGCUAUAAAGUUCCAAGAUCAAUUGAAAACCCGUCAGUCAGAAUUUGAAAACCCAUCAGUCUCUGUAUCCAGAGCUUUUUAUUAAAUUAAGAAGAAAAGAAAAGUGAGACAAUAUUGGCUUGGGGUCUGCUUGCCCCCUUUAGCAUACUGCUAUGAUUGUCUUGGAAUACUUUUAGUCGAGCACACCGUAGUUUAUGGACAUUAUUGUAGAAAUACUUGCUGAGAAAAGCUAUUUUAUUAAUUGAGUAGUCUCACUGUAAACCAUGUGAUAUCCCAGAAGACACUUUAUAAAUAAAGUGUAUUUGCAUCAGGAGUUUUUCAAGGUUCUCUACUUUACAAAAUAAUAAUUCACAGCUUAAACCAAAUCCAUCGAGGUGAAGUUUAUCAGUUGAGCACUUUAAUAAAAUCAAAUCAAAUGCAAUUUCUAGUGGACAAUAAAUGCUUCUUAUUUGGCAUGAUAUUUUACAUACUAAGUAUCACUUUAAAGAAGGUAAUUGAUGAUGUUCUUGUAGAGAAAAAGGGUUUGCAUGGCAAGAAAUAAGCCUAUACAUUUGCCUCACUUAGACCAGUCCUUUCUAUGUGAACUUGAGAUUUUCACCUAUGCUUCCCAGAAACAAUGUUAAAUUCAGAUAAC